AUAAAAUUUAAUAUUAUUAUGAAUACCUAAAAUUUUUUCACCGGCUAUUUAUAUCGAUAUCGAAAACAGAUAUUACAGCACUGCUUGGAACCGGCGAAUUUUACAUCACUGCAAAACCAAGCGCUACAAAUUGACAAGCAAGAAUACCGACACAAUGUGCUACAAACUUAAAACUGGAAUGCCAACGAGUUCACAUGUCAAAAGGAAUCUGAACAUAAUCGAUGGAGAGAUUGAAGCUAUAAAAUAUUUUCUUGCAAGUCAUCUUAUUGCUAACAAUGUCGUUCUUCUGGCCAACAGGAAAUACGUCUACAACUACGGAAUCCAGUAAAAAGAAUCCGACCGGACAAAAGCCGCCCAUUUUUAAUUUAUAAGGGUCUGAAAAAUCUGGAAGCUGGAAAAAGCGGAUGCAGUUGGUCAAUGAGUUCAAUCGUUGAGGAAUUUUAAAAAUAAAACAAGUAUUUGGGUAUAUAAAAUAUAUAGUCUGACUCGCUCUAAAAUUAAUUAAUUUCCAAAUUUAUUUAUAUUAAUGUAAGUCCUUGCCUCCGUCCACCUGAUGUGAGUUGGAGCACAUCAUUAAAAACCACUCCUAUUCGGACGGGGGUGAGGAUUAGGAUAAUAUUUUUUGUUAAAGCUGUUAAUUUUAUUUGUUA